GACGAACCGUGCGAACGUUGUUCGGAAUCACUGGGCUUAAAGGGCGCGUAGGCGGGUGGAUAAGUCAGGGGUGAAAGCCCACGGCUCAACCGUGGAAGUGCCUUUGAUACUGUUCAUCUCGAGGGAGGUAGGGGCGUGCGGAACUUCCGGUGGAGCGGUGAAAUGCGUAGAUAUCGGAAGGAACACCGGUGGCGAAAGCGGCGCGCUGGACCUCUUCUGACGCUGAGGCGCGAAAGCCAGGGGAGCAAACGGG
rnacentral:rRNA from 1 species